CUAGGAAGCUCCUAAUCUAGCUUAGUCUACUUUUAGAUUAGAUCUCAAAUCAGGUAGGAUUACCCGCUGAACUUAAGCAUAUCAAUAAGCGGAGGAAAAGAAACUAACAAGGAUUCCCCUAGUAGCGGCGAGCGAAGCGGGAAGAGCUCAAAUUUAUAAUCUGGCGCUUUCGGCGUCCGAGUUGUAAUCUCUAGAAGUGUUUUCCGCGUUGGACCGCACAUAAGUCUGUUGGAAUACAGCGGCACAGUGGUGAGACCCCCGUUCACGGUGCGGAUGCCCAAUGCUUUGUGAUACACUUUCGAAGAGUCGAGUUGUUUGGGAAUGCAGCUCAAAUUGGGUGGUAAAUUCCAUCUAAAGCUAAAUAUUGGCGAGAGACCGAUAGCGAACAAGUACCGUGAGGGAAAGAUGAAAAGCACUUUGGAAAGAGAGUUAACAGUACGUGAAAUUGUUGGAAGGGAAACGCUUGAAGUCAGACUUGCUAUUCGGGGCUUGCUCCGAGUUGCAGGCCAGCAUCAGUUUUUCGGGGCGGAAAAUCACGGAUUGAAGGUAGCAGUUUCGGCUGUGUUAUAGCUUUCCGUUGGAUACGUCCUGGGGGACUGAGGAACGCAGUGUGCUUUUAGCGAGGGCUUCGGCUCUUUCACACUUAGGAUGCGGGGA
rnacentral:rRNA from 1 species